CAUUGGCGCAGGCUGGAGGCAGGAGGGCGGGGUUUCUUGCCACGUGGACCUCUCCACAGAUUGUUGAAGUAUCCUUAGGAUGUGGUGUUGGCUUCUCCAGAGCAAGUGAUGCAAGAGAGCAAGGGAGAGGCUGCAAUCGAUGUACGUUAUGACCUAGCUUUAUGAUUCACACACUAGCAUUUCCACAACAUUCCUUUUCAUUGCACAAGUCAGCCCUACUCAGUGUGGGAGGUACUACACAAGGGCGUGAAUACCAGAAGAUAAGAUUUAUAGGGGACAUACUGGAGGGGGGAUGGGAAGAGCUUGUAGCCAAAGCUGAGCCUGGGGUCCAAGUUAGGGAAGGUGGCAGUGUUAGAGCCUGUCCAUGUGUCAAGGCGGGGCCACCACCCAUAACCUUCCCCAGCUACUGAGCGGGGACCCGGGUCAGGGGCACCUGGUCUGAGAGCAGGGCUGGGGUUCUACCUCCUCCUCCCCAGGUGCCUUGCUCCACAAAGGGCAGCACGGGCAGGGCCCCUGGGAAACCCCUUGAAGACUCGCCCACCACCUCUAGUGUCCCUAGGCCGAGGCGCCUGAGUCAUUCCUGCAAAGACGGAUGUGGGCCAGAGCCCACUCCACUCCACCUGGAGACGUGGACGAAGCGACAGGCCAAGUCCACGUUCCUGGGCACCGUCCUCCCGAUAUGCCCGCAAUUAGACACACACGCACACACACAGCGGCCCAGCACGCCCCCACGGGGACACACACACACACACACAAACACACUCAUACUUCAAGAUGUUUGCACAUACACACAAGAUGUUUCACACACACACACGCACACACUUAUACUUCAAGAUGUUCCCGGAACAAAGAGCGGAGAGCAGGGACAGCGGCGCCACACGGUUGCUGGCCCCGGAACCACACUUCCCAGAAGGCUGUGCCACACGCUCGUCCCGGUCGGGUCUUUGCCAGGGCCCCAGACGCCCUCUGGGAAACGGAGUCCGCCGCCGGCGCGGCGCAAAGCCUCCCGGGAGUUGUGGUUCGCGUCCGGUCUGCGCAGGCGCACUCUCGCGCGGCGGCCGCACUGCUGCUCCCUUGUGGUCGUCGCUGUCGUCUUGUGGGAGGCUAGUCCAUUCGCUCGCUCGCUCGCUCGCGCAGCUGUCCGACGGUCGGUCGGUGUGUCGGUCCGCCCGGGGCCUGUUUGCGGGCCUUCUCCGCGCCCGCCCUCUCCGGGCAGCUGAGCCCGGCCCGCCCCGGCCCCGCGCGCGUCCCCGGGCGGAGUUUGGGGCAGCUGCGUGGGGCGCGGGGGAUGCGGCGCGAGCGCAGCCUGGGGCUGGGGGCGCCUGCCGAGCCUGCCUGACCCGGACAGGCUGCUGUCCCUGAGCCCCAGGAGCAGCACCCGCUCCUCUGGGCCUGGCCUGGGGCCCGGGAGGCUGCAGAGGUGCCCACGCCUCCAGGGGACGCUGCCGAGGGGCGCCAUGGAGACCCCUGCCGCGAAACCCCGGGAGACAGUGUAUCCAGGUUCUGAGCCUUCUCAGUUCUCCCCUGCUCGGCACUGUCCCUCCCUGGAUUGUUGGAACAGCCCCUCCACCGUCUCCCUGCUUCUACUUGUCCCACCGCCGACCUGCUCUCCACACAGUACUGGACCAUCCUGGUACAGGGUGGGCCAGACCACGUCCCCUGCCUGCUGUGAAUCCUCCGUGGACUCCUGUCCCCAGAGUGGAAGCCGAGGUCUCACCAUGCACGGCCUCUGAGGUCCUGUGCCAUCUGGUCCCCAGUUGUGAGUUCCAGCUCCAUCUCCUCUCCCUCCCUCCCCCACCAUCACUGGUCACACUGGCAUCUGCUGUAUCUGGAACUAGGCACGCUCCAGGUGCUAGUCCCUCUGUCGGAGAUGCUUUCUCCCAGAUAUCCACGUGGCUGGCUUCCUCGCUCUUUGUGACCUUCUCCUAAGGAAGCCUUUUCUGGACAUCGUCUCUAAGAUUGUAGCCCUUCCUUGCUUUAUUUUUCUCCUUAUCUCUUCAGUGUCUGUAUUAAUUAUCUAUUCCUGCAUAAUAAAUUACCCUGAAUUUUAGAGACUUAAAGCAACAAUAAACAUUUUUUAUUUCACGGCA